rnacentral:rRNA from 1 species
AGAGUUUGAUCCUGGCUCAGGACGAACGCUGGCGGCGCGCCUAACACAUGCAAGUCGAACGGAGCAUUGAGAGCUUGCUUUUAAUGCUUAGUGGCGAACGGGUGAGUAACGCGUGAGUAACCUGCCCUGGAGUGGGGGACAACAGUUGGAAACGACUGCUAAUACCGCAUAAGCCCACGAUCCGGCAUCGGAUUGAGGGAAAAGGAUUUAUUCGCUUCAGGAUGGACUCGCGUCCAAUUAGCUAGUUGGUGAGGUAACGGCCCACCAAGGCGACGAUUGGUAGCCGGACUGAGAGGUUGAACGGCCACAUUGGGACUGAGACACGGCCCAGACUCCUACGGGAGGCAGCAGUGGGGGAUAUUGCACAAUGGGGGAAACCCUGAUGCAGCGACGCCGCGUGGAGGAAGAAGGUUUUCGGAUUGUAAACUCCUGUCGUUAGGGACGAUAAUGACGGUACCUAACAAGAAAGCACCGGCUAACUACGUGCCAGCAGCCGCGGUAAAACGUAGGGUGCAAGCGUUGUCCGGAAUUACUGGGUGUAAAGGGAGCGCAGGCGGACCGGCAAGUUGGAAGUGAAAACUAUGGGCUCAACCCAUAAAUUGCUUUCAAAACUGCUGGCCUUGAGUAGUGCAGAGGUAGGUGGAAUUCCCGGUGUAGCGGUGGAAUGCGUAGAUAUCGGGAGGAACACCAGUGGCGAAGGCGACCUACUGGGCACCAACUGACGCUGAGGCUCGAAAGCAUGGGUAGCAAACAGGAUUAGAUACCCUGGUAGUCCAUGCCGUAAACGAUGAUUACUAGGUGUUGGAGGAUUGACCCCUUCAGUGCCGCAGUUAACACAAUAAGUAAUCCACCUGGGGAGUACGACCGCAAGGUUGAAACUCAAAGGAAUUGACGGGGGCCCGCACAAGCAGUGGAGUAUGUGGUUUAAUUCGACGCAACGCGAAGAACCUUACCAAGUCUUGACAUCCUGCGACGCACAUAGAAAUAUGUGUUUCCUUCGGGACGCAGAGACAGGUGGUGCAUGGUUGUCGUCAGCUCGUGUCGUGAGAUGUUGGGUUAAGUCCCGCAACGAGCGCAACCCUUAUCCUUAGUAGCCAGCAGUAAGAUGGGCACUCUAGGGAGACUGCCAGGGAUAACCUGGAGGAAGGUGGGGAUGACGUCAAAUCAUCAUGCCCCUUAUGAUUUGGGCUACACACGUGCUACAAUGGCGUAAACAAAGGGAAGCGAAGCCGCGAGGUGAAGCAAAUCCCAAAAAUAACGUCCCAGUUCGGAUUGUAGGCUGCAACUCGCCUGCAUGAAGCUGGAAUCGCUAGUAAUCGCGAAUCAGAAUGUCGCGGUGAAUACGUUCCCGGGUCUUGCACACACCGCCCGUCA